UCCGAACGUAGGCAGAGAGUCAUCAAAUCUUUGCGAAAUUUCUCGGACGUCCGAUGCGAUCGAUGUGCGUCCGAGGCGUGCGUCCGAUCCUUCCGGACGUCCGAUGCUUCCUCACGAGCGUCCGACAGAGUUUCCUUCUUGAUGUUCUUCAUCCUUUCGGACGUCCGAUAGCGUCCGACAUGAGUGCCCUGUUUUUGCUUCUUCUUUUAUGCCACAAGAAUCUGUUCUAACAAAUUACUCACAUAAAAACAUUAGCCCAAAUCUACAUUUUGAUUUGUUAAUCAUCAAAACCAAGGAUUGAUCGACCAAG
rnacentral:lncRNA from 1 species